CCUACGGGGGGCUGCAGUGAGGAAUAUUGGUCAAUGGACGAGAGUCUGAACCAGCCAAGUAGCGUGAAGGAUGACUGCCCUCUGGGUUGUAAACUUCUUUUAUAUGGGAAUAAAAUGUUCCACGUGUGGGAUUUUGUAUGUACCAUAUGAAUAAGGAUCGGCUAACUCCGUGCCAGCAGCCGCGGUAAUACGGAGGAUCCGGGCGUUAUCGGGAUUUAUUGGGUUUAAAGGGAGAGUAGGUGGAUUGUUAAGUCAGUUGUGAAAGUUUGCGGCUCAACCGUAAAAUUGCAGGUGAAACUGGCAGUCUUGAGUACAGUAGAGGUGGGCGGAAUUCGUGGUGUAGCGGUGAAAUGCUUAGAUAUCACGAAGAACUCCGAUUGCGAAGGCGGCUCACUGGACUGCAACUGACACUGAGGCGCGAAAGUGUGGGUAUCAAACAGGAUUAGAUACCCGAGUAGUC
rnacentral:rRNA from 1 species